rnacentral:rRNA from 1 species
CGCAGCCGCGGUAAUUCCAGCUCCAAUAGCGUAUAUUAAAGUUGUUGCAGUUAAAAAGCUCGUAGUUGAAUUUCGGGGUUAGUAGGUUGGUCAUGCCUCUGGUAUGUACUGGUCUCACUGAUUCCUCCUUCCUGAUGAACCUUAAUGCCAUUAAUUUGGUGUUUUGGGGAAUUUGGACUGUUACUUUGAAAAAUUAGAGUGUUUAAAGCAAGCUAACGCUUGAAUACAUUAGCAUGGAAUAAUGAAAUAGGACGUUCGAUCCUAUUUUGUUGGUUUCUAGGAUUGACGUAAUGAUUAAUAGGGAUAGUUGGGGGCAUUAGUAUUCAAUUGUCAGAGGUGAAAUUCUUGGAUUUAUUGAAGACUAACUACUGCGAAAGCAUUUGCCAAGGAUGUUUUCAUUAAUCAAGAACGAGAGUUAGGGGAUCGAAGACGAUCAGAUACCGUCGUAGU